AGAACAACAAAGAGUGGCUUCUAUACCUAGUAUCUUCUUGGAUUCAAGCACGAGAGCUUUGGUCUCAAGAUGAAGAACCAGAAUAGUCCAAGUAAUUGAGGACUUUCAACCUGAAUAUAUGGAAUCAGCUUUAAUGUGUACUGUAUGUGGCCAGUCUGGACACCACAACUUCAGACUUAGAGUGGAAUCCUGAAAACAUUACUCGUUUGCUGGAGCAACAAGAGAUGUCAUCUAUGAAUGAAGUUUCUGGAGUUUGUUGGAACUAAGCUCGAGACAUAAGGUCAGAUAUUCCAGAAGCUGAUGAAAGAUCCCAACAAAAUAUAGUGUUGUUCAAUAUAAGAAGAGCAGCUGAAA